AGUGAACGCUGGCGGUAGGCCUAACACAUGCAAGUCGAACGGCAGCACAGUAAUAGCUUGCUCUUACGGGUGGCGAGUGGCGGACGGGUGAGGAAUACAUCGGAAUCUACUUUUUCGUGGGGGAUAACGUAGGUAAACUUACUCUAAUACCGCAUACGCCCUACGGGUGAAAGCAGUGGAUCUUCGGACCUUUCGCGAUUGGAUUAGCCGAUGUCGGAUUAGCUAGUUGGCGGGGUAAAGGCCCACCAAGGCGACGAUCCGUAGCUGGUCUGAGAGGAUGGUAAGCCACACUGGAGCUGAGACACGGUCCAGAGUCCUACGGGAGGCAGCAGUGGGGAAUAUGGGACAAUGGGCGCAAGCCUGAUCCAGCCAUACCGCGUGGGUGAAGAAGGCCUUCGGGUUGUAAAGCCCGUUUGUUGGGAAAGAAAAGCAGCAGGUUAAUACCCAGCUGUUCUGACGGUACCCAAAGAAUAAGCACCGGCUAACUUCGUG
rnacentral:rRNA from 1 species